rnacentral:lncRNA from 1 species
AGAUGGCCUUUCUUAUAUUUAAAUCUAGUUAAUUAUUGAUAUAAUAAAGCCUAAAGGUGAAAGGGAGUAAGAAAAGAAAAAAAAUAAAAUUAAAAAGGAAAAAUUUAAAUAAAGCCUAAAGGUGAAAGGGAAUAGGAAAAGGAAAAAAUAAAAAUUAAAAAGGAAAAAUUUAAAAACUACAAAGGAAAAAAUAAAAAUUAAAAAGGAAAAAUUCAAAAAUCUAAUAAAACUACAAAACGUAAGUGCCUAACUAAAAACUGGAAUAGGAAAAGUGAACAAAAAA